rnacentral:misc_RNA from 1 species
AUAUGUCAUAAUUGUAAUAAUUUUUUUUUUGUGGAAAUUUAAACCCUUUAAUUUUUUUUCGUAUUUAGUUUUUGCGCUGCUGGCGCGCAUGCCCCAAUAACUUGCACAGAAAUGAAAAAAAUGUAAUUUAUAUCGACCUGCUACUGUGGUGACGAUGAAGAUGAACAGCCUUCUUCGGAUAGCGAGUUAGAUAUUGAAUUUUCACCUCCUGGGUUGCUUAGGCAUAGAGCAUUGAAACGAAGAAACAAACCUAAGACUGAGGCUGAUACGCAAUAUGAUCCUGCAGAUUUUACAGUUCAAAAACCAAAAGGAAAAGGUGGCAAAAAGGACAAGAAAGGCGGAAAGAAAGGGAAAAAGAAGUGAACCUUCUUAAGGAAAAUUUCAGUUAAUUAAACACAAUGUUUUAUUUUAAUAUUAAAUAUAUUAACUAUCUCAAUUUGCA